rnacentral:sRNA from 1 species
CAAACCAAGUGUUUGAUGACUCCACGGCUACAACUACAACGCAGCAAAGAGGACGCAAAGCUGUUGGGCGCCAGGAGCCUGCUUUCUCCCACGCACACAGACACACUUGCCCACAGUUAAUAAUGAAGGAAGCGCAAAAAACACAACGCAACUGAAAAAAUACGAAGUAUAAGAACAAAUCCAAGCAACAGAGUGGCAAAAAAGCGUGGCGAGUGGUCAGAACUUUUCACUUCAGUUUUAACUAAGUGGACACAACAGAUGGCAAUCAUUACAAUGCGGAUAAAUUCCAACUCGAGCUGCUUUGCUGCACAGCGAGUCGCAAAAUAAUGGCAUCGAUGAAAUCGAUCAUAAAUCAAAAACACAAAUCGUUCGUCUUCUGGUGUUGUCGUCCUGUGAAAUCUUGGUGAAUCUCGUUCAAGGCACUAUUCCAAAUGCAUGUUUCGGCGAAUAAGGGAUACCUUGGCUAUGGGAGAUGUGUGUGCGUGCAUCCAAAAGAAUGAGUGAAGUUUGAGGCCAAUGAAUGGCUAAUUGAUAAUCAAGCACAAAGGGGAUGGAUGGAUGGAUGUUAUGGAGAGCAUCUAUUAAGGUUACACCAAAAUACUAUUCGAGGUGUUGGAAAUACCUGCCAUAUAUGACACCCUUUGCUUGGAAACCCAGUUGCAAUUCUCAUCUUGCAAAAAAGUAGUCAAGGUUUAGAAGACAACCAGACAAAAAAUCAGAAUGAGAGUUAAAAUCAAUGCCUAGAAUUCUGCAAAUUAUGCUGAAGACUGGGUGCUAAUAUCAAGUCUUUCUAUCUUAUAAGACAAUUUUUGUCAUGUUAAUGGCUUAAUUUUUAAGUAAUAUAAAGUUUUUCUAUUAAUUGAAGAUAUUUUUUAUGUAAACCAAUUAUCAAAAGCAAUAAAAAUUAAUUAAAACC